rnacentral:lncRNA from 1 species
GCGUGGAUCAAGUUAGGGUUCCCGAGGUAAUCAAGCCCUCCUUCUGAGAAGAUCUGAGAACCUGCCUUGAACCACACGGCUUCACCGAAUUUGACUCCGUUUUUGGAGAGAAUCUCAGGGAAGGUGCAGCCUAAUGCUCCUAGCAUUGCCCAUCUGCUGUGGAUUACUUCGAGCUCACGGUUCUUUGCGAAUGUUUCUGGGUCAGCGGAGAGACCAGCUGUGUCCCAACCGUAGUCUCCCGGGUAUUCUCCUGUUAGGUACGAUGGUGUGUUCUCCGAGAAUGGUCCUAAGUACUUGGGACGGUCUGGUCCGUACCUGUCACAAUAUGUUUGUAGUGUUGAAAUAUUAUAUGUUUUUGGUGUGAUUAAUAAAAUCAAAACUGAGGAAGCAAAAAAUAUUGGAGUAAGAACCAGAUGCUCUGAGGAGUAGACUUGACGGUACGACGCAUGACGACGCGGCCACCGCCGUUGGAAGCUCCUACUUUGCGGAGGAGAUCGUUGGCGGGCUUCAGAGCCGUUUGGCCGGCGAAAGAGGAGUGCUGGAUUGCUGACGUAGCCAUUCUUAUAUUAUCUUAACUCCAAACAGAAACACAAAUGAAGCAAAGAUGAGAUGAGAUGUUGUUGUUGGUGUUCUUGUUGAUUUUAUAAUAGAGAUCCGAAGGUGUUCAGCUUGAGGGGGCUUGGCUAAUGGACACGUCAGCGAGUUCUGAUUGGUUGGUUUUAGAUUUCCACAGAGUAGAUUCACAUUGUGAAGGAGAUUGCUAGAGGCUAUGGUUAUGCCACGUAGGAGUGGAAAAAUCUUAUGCCAAUAGUGGAUACUGGAUAGUGCUCCAACAUAGCGAUUUCUCUGACUUCCUAUAGGCUAUGCUUGCGAUUGCGAUGAUAAGAACAACAUUAAUAUUUUGAUUAAUACAAAAUAAUUAUUUCGGCAAACGAUUAAAACUUUACUAAUAUCAAACACAGUUUAAUACAUUACAUGAAAUAUAACUAGCAACAAAUAAUUUUUAAGAAGAAUUUGAAUUGGAAAAGUAAUAAUACUAUUUAACUUAUUGUGAUUUGCUAACUUUAUAUAUCUUCGUUUUCGGUCUUAUGGAUAUCUAUUGUGAUCAAAAACCUAUUUUCAACUACAAGAUCAUUUGAUUCGACACGUCUGUUGUAUUCAUGCUUUGUUGUAUUUAUUAUCCAUAAUAAUAUAAAUAUUUUUCCGCAUUGACAUCUAUAAGAACAUAUAUUGAUAAUCAUCGUCUAUACUACACUGAUAUACUUGAUUUUUAUUAUCUUCCACUAUCUUUGAUCUCAAAUCCCAUCUAGUUGAUUUCCAGUAGAAGAGAAAAGAUUCCAAUGUCUUCUCCACCAUCCAACGGACACAGACUGAAAACCAAAAUUGACAAUCUUCUAUCGAGCAAACAUUCUCCAUCUCUGGCCAAUUACCCAACCAUGAAGGUUUUAAGUCCUGAUCUCUGAGAGUUAUGUACUCAAAAAUAUAUUGUAAAUUCGACUUAUCAUUGAGAUUGAUUAGAUACAUAUCGACUGAAGAAUCAUAUGAGUACCUUAGUGUUCCUCCAUUGAUCGUUGUUGGUUGCAACCAAUUCUACAUUUUCAGCCAUAGAUUUGACGAGGGGUUUGGAUCACCUCAUACAACCUGGCCACAGUGGUUUUAAGCCAUAGAUUUUUAAACUAACAAUUUUACUUCUCCGGUUAAUCUUGCCAGAAAAAGAAAACAUGUGGCUUGUAGAAAGCAUAGGACACCAAUACAAGAAAACAUGUUAAAUUUCGACGAAAUUUAUGAUUGAAUUUCUGGCGGAAAUAUAUUUGUCAGAAAUUUCUGAGAAAAUUUUGACGAAUAUGAAAUUUUAACAUUCGUCGGUAUUUCGUAAGAAAUAUCCAAAGAAUUUCCAACAAUUUUUUUUUGUUCGAAAUAAUAAAUAACUACGAUUCCCGAGCAAUGUUAAACGAUUUGGAAAAUAAGUUUAGGGUUUAUGUUUUUGUCAGAAAUUCAUGGAAAUUUCUGACGAAAUUCUGAUGAAUUUGGGUUUCAGAUAUGAAAUAUGCACAAUAAAUGUUAAACCGGAUAUCUACAUAAUCACCAUGACAUAUAUUUAGUGAUAAAUAUGAUGUGGGUUAACAAUAGCUCAAUUAUUUUAGAUAUAAACUAUUUUAGUAAUUCAAGUUUUUUGUAUUUUGGUUUGAUUAUUUUAAAACUAAAAAGUAGCUAAUAUUUGUAAGUAUAAAAAUUACAUUAUAGAAAUUUGGAUACCGUCUCUGCUUUCCAACAUCUUCACUGAUUCACAGCCUUCGUUUCCUGGUUUAUCCAUAGAAAUAUUAGUUAUUCUGAACGUCAGAGUGGUUCUCGGAGCAACAAUCGUAGUUUGAUUUGUUUAUAUAAAAGGAAGUUGAAGAGAAGAAAAGAUUUUGAAACUGCCAUAAACGUAGACCUAUUAAGUAUCUUUAAGGUUUCAUCAUUUUGUAAUUCUUGAUUCGAGUAUCUUGAUUAUUUUUUUUCUUUUUUGGAUUUGAGUUUUAUGGCUUUAGGCUAGUCUUGAUUUGGUUUAACGUUGUUAAUCUGUUCAAGGAGUUAAUUUGAUUUAUUUAUAACGACUUGUAUAGAUUACAAUAACUCUCUUCAGCAACAUAAUCAAAGUACCACCAAUCUCAGAGAAGAUUUUACGUAUGAAUUUUUGGCUAAGGCAACCACUUCAAGAAAACAUGCUAAUUUUUGAUGAAAAUAUAUUCUUCAGAAAUUUCUAAGGUAAUUUUGAAGAUUUUCUGAGGUAAUUUUGACGAAUUUCUGAUGAAUUUCUGAGAAAUAUGAAAUUUUACCUUUCGUCGUAUUUUGUCAAAAAUAUCUAAAGAAUUUCCAACGAACAAAUUUUCAUCGGAAAUAAUCGAUGAAAUACCGACGAUUCUCGAGGAAUGUUAAAUGAUUUGGAGAAUAUGUGUAGGGUUUAUGUUUUCGUUGGAAAUUUAUCAGAAAAUUUUGACGAAUUGUAAAUUUUUGUCGGGUUUCAGGUAUGAAAUAUUCAAAAUAAAUAUUAAACUGGAUAUCUACAAGAUCACCAUGAUAUAUAUUAAGUGUUAAAUAUGAUAUGGGUUAACAAUAGCUCAAUUAUUUUAAAGCUAUACAUUCUCGCGAUAGAUGCAUCGACGGAUACAUAACUUUUCUCAUUUACAUUUAUAUACUUAAGCAAAUAUUGUACAGUAAUUCAUCUUACUAUCUUGAAUUUGUCUGUUUUCAAACAUUUAGAAGAUCAUUUAGAAGAUUAUAAACUCCUAAAAGUCAUCAAUAUCUUAUUAGUGAAUAUUGUCAUUCUAUUUUGCUAUGUUUUGAAAUUCCAAUCCACAUUUGUCAGAAAUUCGUCAGAAAUUUUUGACGAAUAUAUUUUGUUCUAGUCAGUUACAAAUCAGAGAAUAUACCAUUUUUUCAAAGAUUUAUUAAAAGUUUCCGACAAAUUUUCGACAAAUAGAUAAUAAUUUAUCGGAAAUUGUCAACUUGCUCAUCAUAUAUGUUUUUUCAUAAAUUCAGACAAAACCCGACGAAAAGAUAUAUUCGUUCGAUGAAUUUCCAAAAAAAAUUAAUUAUAUUAUUUGUAAUUAACCUGAAAAAAAAACAUCCGUCAGAAAUUUCUGAUGAAGUGUGGAUCGGGAUUUCGAAACAUAUUUUUGCUUUUAUCUUCUCAACAACAAUCAUUACCAAAAUUAAAACUAUGCAGCUUUAGACGAAAAAAAUAUACAUAUAUUAUAAACCCAUAAAUAUUCACUAUGAUGACAAUAAAUAAUAUUUAUCUUACAAAUACAACAGCGGCAUGAAACUCAUACCUCGAAAUGGUACUCCUAUUAGAUAAAAGCAAAAAAAUUUUAAAAGGAAUCACGGGACGACCAUCAUAGCAGCAAGUCUAAGCUGUUUGUCAAGAGGCAAAUGGUCUCUGAAGACGACACAAAUGUGAUGCAUCACCUUCACAAGCAUUGGUGCAUGAUCUCUUUCGCUUUGCUCAAUUUGCUGCGACGUUAGCUUUGCAUUAGCGUCUGAGUCGGUUGCAAAACUGUAAACACGUUCCAGUGAUGUCCAUAAAAACGAGAUGAAAGGCUCUGCGACAGCUUCCCAGUUGGGAUCAGACAGGAGUGAAAUUACUGUAACAGACAUGUCUCUCAAAACUGUGGAUCGGUCUAAAGUGAGAAACGGCAUGUAUUCGCAGCAGAUACUAGAGAGGAGGCCAACAAAAAGAAUAGCCUGCAGAAAAGAGGAAAACCAAUUUUCAACAUAAAAUAAGAACAAAAUAAUCUCUUUCGAUGGAGGAGAUCUAAGCACUGAAGUGGUCUUACAUUGGAAGGAUAGCUAGAAACGCAGCUGAUUUCAAUAGCAUCAAUGAGCCACUGUCUUUUGAUUCCUCCAUCGGCUUGAUGCACAGCAGCUACUAUCUCAACGUGCACAUCCCAGAUAUCUAAAACAAAGAUGGAAAGUUCGAUUAUCUUUUAUCGUAUCUUAGCUUCGCAUAUAGCAACUGAGGAUAUUAACUGACCUGACUGUUCACAGUUUAAUAUAAUAGCCUUCAAUUUUCCUAACUCAGAAAAUGGAACUGAUCCAAGUCUUGCUAGCUUAGCUUUUGCUUGGAUCUUCUUUAGAUUACCUUCGAAGUCAGUCUUUCCUCUUCCAGGUUCAAGACUUGAAACCUGCAGGCGAGGAAAAAUCUUAGUUUACAGGCCUAUGCUUGUGGCAGAUAUUACAUUUAUUACCUGUAGAAAUUUGUAUAACCAAUCCUUAUGUGAUUGCUGCAAACAUCGAACUGCCUCUGACCACUCUUUCACCGAACCCAUCUGAUCUACGUUCGGAGAUUGUGAUGCUACUGGUAAGACUGAAAAAAGCAGCUCUAUGCAAUUUUCAAUCUUUGUGAUGUAUUCUGAAGAUUCAAAUGAAGUUCCUUCGAGACACUGACUCAGACCCUUCCAACAAGAGACCCUCAAUGAGCUCUUCUGAUCACAGCUAUAUACUUGGUCUGAAGAUAGCGAGGUUACGAAGCAAGAGAUAUCUUCAAACAAUUUAUCCAUUCUUGAACCUGAGAACAUUCUCAUUAAAUCCCCUAGAUGACAGAGAAGGGAAGACUGGAGACUCUGCUCUAGUGCCUUGAAUCUAGAUAGUUCAGACAACUCGUCCAGAAAGGUUAGAAGUUCAUCAAAUUCGCUUGCAUGGGCUAACGAAAAUUUCAAGCACUCUUCCCUGAGACUUGUGUCCUUGGGAACAUCUCCUGAUUGCGAUACAUCAAGCUGAGUCUCUUGUCUCAUUAGUCGCCUUAUCGUUGCUCCCCAAUCCAAGUUUGGCAAUCUCGGAGCAUGAGACAAACACCGCAAAGCACUUGCCAGUGCGCCAAUAUUCAGAGAGCUAUCGGCCUAUAUUGCAACAAAGAUUAAAAUAAGUAUGAAAACAGAUUCAGAUCUCUAUCCUGAACUAAAUCAUCUUCAAGGAAUAUAGAAGGUUAGAACUAUCAGAAGUCUUUUAAGCAGACAUACCAAAGGCAAACUUGGAUUUGUCAGGCCUUGAGCAAGUUUCAUGACCAUGGUAUGCUCAGGAAUAUUGUGAGCAGUGGAGUUACGGUGAGAGUCGCUAGAUUGGAUUUCAUUGCCUACACUUGACGCAUCCUUGGACCGCAUGUAAUUCCUAAGAAAUGAGAUGGCCCAUGCAGCAUAAUGUUGCUGCUGGCGAUCCUUCGUAUCUUGUGCGAUAAGGAAUAUUUCUUGCACAAAUGGUGUCAACUGCUGAGUUAAAUAUGAAUUUGAAAGCACGGGACCUGAUAAAUAAGAGAUUUUCUGUAGCAAUAUAAACGGAUGUUAGGAGCCCAUUCGCAUUUAGCGAAUAAACGAGUAAGGAUCUUCAGAAAGAUAGAUCAGAGAACUUACGUUUUCCUCAGAACUUGAAGGAGCACGGGGUACAGGAUGGGAAAACACCAAAUCACCAGCACCUGCUCCUAAUACGUUAACAACUCCGAGCAUGCCACCAAAGUGAACAACCGGUGGGUAAAGCCCAGAGUAACAUGUCUUGAACAGUUCUAAUAAGCCUUUUAAAGGCUCAAUCUCCACAGGGUGGAUACCUUCAUUCAGAACAGAACCCAGGAGGUCUCCAGCCCCAAUACAGGAAGCCAUCAACAAACUCUUAUGAAAAGCACCAGACGUUUUAACAAUUAGCAACUCAGAAAUAAGGUCCUUGUANNNNNNNNNNNNNNNNNNNNNNNNNNNNNNNNNNNNNNNNNNNNNNNNNNNNNNNNNNNNNNNNNNNNNNNNNNNNNNNNNNNNNNNNNNNNNNNNNNNNNNNNNNNNNNNNNNNNNNNNNNNNNNNNNNNNNNNNNNNNNNNNNNNNNNNNNNNNNNNNNNNNNNNNNNNNNNNNNNNNNNNNNNNNNNNNNNNNNNNNNNNNNNNNNNNNNNNNNNNNNNNNNNNNNNNNNNNNNNNNNNNNNNNNNNNNNNNNNNNNNNNNNNNNNNNNNNNNNNNNNNNNNNNNNNNNNNNNNNNNNNNNNNNNNNNNNNNNNNNNNNNNNNNNNNNNNNNNNNNNNNNNNNNNNNNNNNNNNNNNNNNNNNNNNNNNNNNNNNNNNNNNNNNNNNNNNNNNNNNNNNNNNNNNNNNNNNNNNNNNNNNNNNNNNNNNNNNNNNNNNNNNNNNNNNNNNNNNNNNNNNNNNNNNNNNNNNNNNNNNNNNNNNNNNNNNNNNNNNNNNNNNNNNNNNNNNNNNNNNNNNNNNNNNNNNNNNNNNNNNNNNNNNNNNNNNNNNNNNNNNNNNNNNNNNNNNNNNNNNNNNNNNNNNNNNNNNNNNNNNNNNNNNNNNNNNNNNNNNNNNNNNNNNNNNNNNNNNNNNNNNNNNNNNNNNNNNNNNNNNNNNNNNNNGCCAGACUGAACAUUGCCACGAACAAAAUGGAAAUCAAGUGCUAGAUGCUUCAUCCUAGAGUGGAACACAGGGUUGGCGCUAAGAUACGUCGCGCCCACAUUAUCACAAUAUAUAGUCGGAGUGUUGGUGAGAGUAACUCCAAGCUCAGUAAGGAGAGAACAAACCCAACGCAGCUCAGCUGCUGUGUUUGCCACCGAUCGAUACUCCGCUUCUAUGGAGGAACGCGCGACUCCAGUCUGCUUGCGAGAAGACUAUGCUAUCGGCAUCAGCUGUUACAUCUACCUCUGGUUCGACGUGUAGGCCGGGAAGUGGUUUAACCGCCGAGUUUGAUGAAUCGAUGACAGAUAGUUGGAUGGUAAUGCAUGGAUGCGAUGAAGUUAUGAUGAACGACAUUGCUUUGCUAGAGUUGAUUUCUCAUGGUCGACUAAUUAGACUACAAUAUAACGUAUCCAAACUUUAUUAUAUCUAUAUGUAUAAUAUGCUAUAUGAAAUUAAGUUUGUGCAUUUUAAUGGAAGAACUGAACAUGUAAUAUAUAUUGUGGUCUAAUGAAUGUUUUUAUGUUCAGUUUCGUAGAUUCUUAAUCUUUUGUUCAACAAAGAUUAUACAUAUUUUUUUAUUCAAAAAAAAAAAAGAUUAUACAUAUUUUAUAGAGGAAUAAAAUUUCCAAACAAUACGACGCUGAAUUAUUAGAGAAUCUCAUUUAUUGAUUUCCAAUUUCAAAUCUCUUUAAAAUAAAAAAUAACAAUUGUAUUAAAUAAAUGAGUAUUUCUUUUUUGUCACAAAAUAAAUGAGUAUUUAAAACGUUAAAAUACUCAUAUAGAUUAUAUCAAAAUAAUUUAAAAGUACUAGCUUUGGACUGUGCUUCUAAAGUGCGUUAUUAUUUUUAUAUAAAAUUAUAAUUCAGUAAAACAUAUAUAUAUAUAUAUAUAUUUUUAAAAAAUUUAUUAUUUUUUGACCCAAAAAAAAUUAUUAUUGUUUUUUGGAAUGAUUUAAAAUAUGUUGAUAAUUUUAUUUAACUAAAGAAGUGUGUAUAUAUAUAUAUGUAUAUAUAUAGUUUACUAAAUUUUAACACCUUUUAAAGAUGAAAUACACUUUUAAUUUAUUUUAUGUGUUUUUCUAUUUUGUUAGAAAAUUAAAAUAUAUUUAUGACAAUUAAAAUUAAAGAUGUUUUCCAUUUUGGCGUACAUGAAAUUUUUUGAUCUGUUUUAUAGAUUUAAUCGUUUUUAUAAAUUUUAGCGAGGUGAAACUAUUUGAUCUGUUUUAUUAAUUUAAUCAGUUUUAUAAAUUUUAUUAUUAUUAUUUUUGAAGAUUACCUUUUAGAAUUCGAAAGUUUUCAUAUUAUUAAAAACAUUAUUCUGAAAUUCAAAAAAUUAUUUUUGAAAAUAUUUUAAAAAUUUUUAUUUAAAUUUUUAGUAUUUAUUUAUUUUUAAAGAAUCCAAAAUCCUACCCUUCAAAUCAAAACUUUAAGUUUAGAUUAGUUAAUCUUAUGGAUCUAUGUUUGUGAUAAAACAAAUAUUUAGGGUCACCAUAGUGAAUUUUUCUAGAUGUAAUUAGUUAGUUAAAGUUUCUAUUUUUUUUAAGCUUGGUGUUUGAUUCCCUCGCCAUGGGCAUCGACUGUUCCUUUUUAAAUAAAAAUUGAUUUUGCAGUAUUUUUAACAUAACCAUUUAAUAAAUGUAUAAAAUAUUGCAUGUAUAAGAUGACCCAACUUAAAAAUCAAACAUGAAAAUUUAUAUGAUUUAUUUUAAUAAAGAAGAUAUUUUGAUGAUAUUUGAAAUACUCAUUUAGAUAUAACCAUUUAGUUUAAACAACAAAUGGCAAACUGAAAGAGGGUUAUUUGACCCCUAAAAUGUUUAAUGAAAAAAAUUGUGUUGAAAUUUAUAAUAUAUCACAAAAUUAGUUUGUGUGAUCUCUAUGAUAUAUAGUUGGUCAAAACUAAAUCGACCACAUUGAAAAAUGUGGCUAGCUUGUCACUGCAUCCGGCUCCCGUGAACUAUCCCAAAAAAACGUUCUAUUAUUAUGCACUUGCAUCAACUGUUUGCGAAGCCAAAGCUAUAACUAGAAGCAUGAAUAAGCCAAAGCUAUAACUAGACGCAUGAACAAAACAAAAAAGAUUAAAACAAUAUCAUUUUAAUGCUCUAUAAAGAACACCUAGUGUUUUUUUUUACAGCUUCCAGAAGUUAAUUUUGUCAAAAUUUGAAUAAAUCAUCUUUACUAGUUAAGGAAACAUUAAAAAAAAAAUAGUUUUUAAGUGAUGAGAAAAUUUGACUUUUUACAGAUUCCAAAAUUUGAUGUAAUAUUUUGGGGCUUAAGAAAACAAAAAUAUAACUGCUACUAUAUUGAAUAAAAAAAAUAACAGCAACUAUUUGUUGCUAAAAAGAAACUGCUACUAUUUUUAUUGUAAUUUACAAAUAAUCAAAUGUGUGUUUGUUUGUCAUUUAAGGAAAUUAGGGUAGGCAAACAGAAAUAAACAGAAAUAUUGGACCGUUCUGUAAAUUUGAGGAACUCUUGAUGGGUAGCAAAUCCAAAUUCCCGGCCUAGCUUCUCUCUCUCUCUCUCUCUCUAAGCAGCUCUUCAAACCCUAACGACGAGAGCAGUCGCUAUCGGAGACGCGAUUCUGAAGUUUCUCUUUGCAAUCCUUCGUCCGGAAAGUAAUCUCCGCCGCGGAUUUAGUCUUCAUUGACGAUCCCUCCGCCAAGAUGUCCAUCCAUUGUUUUUGAUUUAGGUCAUCGGAGCUGAAUCCGUUUUUUUUUUCUUUCUCGUGAAGAAGAGCGACAGAGUCAUCAUCUUCUGUAAAGUAAUCAAAAGAGAAUCUGUAAGAUUUGUUUUCCCUUUCGAAGAUAUUUUUUCGAAUCUUAAUCUCCGUAGCUCGCUAGGUUCGUUUAAACCCUAAGCUUAAUUGUAAGAGAUGAUGCAUUGAUUGCACACGUUUAGAUUGUUAGGGAUUCGUUUUGUAUAUUUCUCAAGAAUCUGAUGAACAUCAAACUGUAUCAGUGUGUUGUAUGAGAGUGAGAGACGAGAAGCUCUCUGCGUUAUAUAAGUUUAUCUAUGGAGCUUUCUUCUCCGAAGGAACGCGUGUUAUCUUCGUCUGAUUGUAUGAGUGAUCCUGAGGAGGAGCAUGAGAUCAGCGAGGAGGAGGACGAUGAUCGUAACCAUAAGCACCGUAGGAAAGAAGAAGAGACGAGGUCUCAGUCUUUGGAACAAGGCUCUUCUGAUCAGGCAAGGCCGUACAGGAAAAACUAUAGAAAUUUUGAGAAUGGGAAUACGUUUGGUGAACAUGAGAAGCGGCCUCAGCGUGUGCAGUUUGAUAGUCAGAGAGCAAGAUCGAAUCCAAUGUUUUCAAGGGACGCUGGUCAUGGUAGAGGUAGAGGCAAUUAUGGUUCUUGGGGUCAGCGUGAUUCUAGGUUUAAUCCUGUUGAUCUCUCGCCUCAUAUGGUCCCCGGCAUGUUUGGAGCGAGGGGACUAGCUGGUGUUUCAGCUGCUCAGAGCGCGCCGUGGCCUCCUUUUGGAAUGCUUAAUGGAGUUCCAAAUGGUGGUUUGGAUGCUUUCCAUCAUAUGCAAGGCUCUCUAAGACCGCCCUUGAAUGCGGCACUUAACAUGGGUAUUCCUCGGCAGCGAUGCAGAGACUUUGAGGAGCGUGGGUUCUGCCUCAGAGGGGAUAUGUGUCCCAUGGAGCAUGGAAUGAAUCGUAUUGUUGUUGACGAUGUUCAGGUUUGUUUUCUUGAAUUACAAUUUUCUGGUCAUUGGAUUUAUCCGGGAAACUCUUGUGUAUGCUUGUCUGAGUGAUUUUCCUUCAUUUCCCAUUUGUGCAGAGUCUAUCACAGUUCAACCUUCCCGUUUCUGGCCCUGGUGCACCUCAUAUGGCAACUUCGUCUAAACCAGUGCCUGCACAGUUUGGAAGUGCUAAUUUCAUGAAUACCAAAGGAGCUCAUGGGAAGACUAAUGAGGGUGGAAUGGCUGUUGAUGGUAUGGGUUAUGGUGAUGCAUAUCCUAGUGCAGGUGGAACUGAUUUUUACGAUCCUGAUCAACCUUUGUGGAAUAACAGUGCCGGUGAAACGUCAGGGGCAUUGCCUGCACUAAGUUCUCAUGGGAUUGAUGAGAAUGUAGCUCCACUGGAUGACAAUAACCAAGAUGGCCCUGAAAAUGCGGGUGGUAUUCGGGACUCAAGAAGCAAAAGUCAACCGGUUUGGGGAAGAACGCGUCAUGCAAAAACUGAUGCAGGAUUAAAUUCAUCAGCUGGUUUUGAAGAUCAACUGAAGGAGGUUUCAAUCAAUUCAUCUCGACACGGCAAACAAAACCACGUUGGUGAAAGUGUCUCAAAAGUUGUUGGUUCAUCAAAUACUUCAAGUGAUGCGAUGAACAACACAAGAAAAGCAAUGCAAAAGGCAAUGCGGACUCUAUUUGUCAACGGUGUUCCCCACGAGAUCAACAGAAAGGACCUCAUUCUUGCCCAUUUUCAGAAAUUUGGGAAAGUUAUUGACAUUCACAUCCCAAUAAAUAGUGAACGAGCAUUUGUUCAAUUCUCAAAACGCGAAGAGGCUGAAUCUGCUCUGAAGGCACCUGAUGCUGUGAUGGGUAACCGCUUUAUCAAGCUUUGGUGGGCAAAUAGAGAUAGUAUACCUGAUAAUGUCCUCUCCACUGGCAAUGGUGCUUCUGUGAAGGGUCGUGUUAUGACUGCUUCCGGAGGGCAGAGCCAACUGCCUAUUGCUGCAGCAUCGAAAAGCAACCAUGUAACUUCCACUGCAAAGGGUCCUGCCUUCCACGGCUGUGGCGCUCCAUCAUCAUCUGAACAGCCUAAGCCUGUGGGUUUCGCAAGUGGUCCCAAGGUUACGCCGCUUCAGCAGAAAAAAGCAGACGAUCUUGAGCGGUUGAAGGAGACACUUCGGAAAAAGCAGGAAAUGCUGGAGCAGAAGCGUGAAGAGUUCCGCAAAAAGUUGGCGAUGCUUGAAAAACAAGUACGUACAAGAAACUAAAUCCCUUUCCAUUUUGUUUUUAAUCCCGUUGAUACCUUAUGAAAGAAAUUACAAUUUAGCAGUCACUAGGAAGUUAAGCCUAAGUAGAGGAUUUGAAUCUUAAGGGCGUCUUUGGGAAAGAAGUGUAAAUUGCUAGACAAAUGCAGACCUGAGUUUUGUUUCACACAGAGAUAUGUGUGGACAUACGUGUGUCGUCAUAUAUUUAUUAUUUCUGCUCUAGGAUGUUUCAGCUAAUGAAUUGAUACACUAAACAUAUUUUUUGACCCUGUCGUACUUCACACCACGUAGAAUGGAGUUGAAAUUAUUUACUUGGACAACAUUCAUAUCAUCUUGCUUAAAAUCUUCUCAGGGUACGGUUGUCAAGGGAGAGGAAGCAGACGAACCCGAUGCUAAGCGUGUUAAAGUAGACACGGCCUCUAACUCCGGUGCUGCAGUCCCAUCACCAAAUACAGAGUCAUCCGCAGAUAAGAAGAAAGUGCCUAUCCAGAAACCACUUUAUUCUGCUAAAAUAAGCACUGAAACGCCAUCUCCCGAUCCGAAACACUUAAAGCAAAGACCGUAUCCGUUCACCACAAGUUUGAACACUCCUAUGGUGAAUAGGUAUAAGUUGGACAACCGCCCGACUACCAUCAAAGUUGUUCCUCCUUUGCCAACCGGGUUAGCUGAUGUAUGUCUCCUUUCUUUGUUUUACUUUAUGAAUGUCAGAACGUUCUUAUCACUUACCGAUUUUUUGAACUAUUGUUUUACUUCCAGGUUGCUGUCUUAAAGGAACAUUUUUCAUCUUAUGGCGAAAUCUCAAAAGUGGAACUCGAAGACAGUGCAUCGAUUGAUAGUGGCAAGGAUCAGGAUGAAACAGAUAAAGAAAACCGUGCAGUUUGUAUCACAUUUGUGAAACGCAGCGCAGCAGAGAAAGCAUUUGCUAACGCGAAAUGCUGGAAAGAACACACGUUGCAGCUCAAGUGGGUAACACGUCCAAGCAACAGAGAGAAUAAUCAUAGCAACAACAACAAUAAUCUCUCUGUUACUGGUGACCACCUUAGCAGCAAAAACAAGUGCACUGCUUCUGUCUCUAAUGACCCAAAACCAAAAGAUGAAGUCAAAGCCUCGUCUACAGAAGAACUAGAGAACACAAAUGUCUCUGGAGACGACAAGACGUUGGAUGAACGAGAGACCAAGGAAAGCGAUAAUGGCAACAGUAAAAGUAACAGCGAGUCCAUCGAAGGAGCUUCUGAAGCGGUUGCAGUGUCUGAAACUGAUGAAGAACAGAUAAAUGGUUAAGUUGGGGAAGAAGAUUCUUGUCAGUGAGGUAAUAUUUUGUGAGAAACAUAAUCUUUAUUUGUUGAAUCUGGCAUUAGUGAUCUUCUCUCCGUUUUAGGCUUUUUAGCCAAUUCGUGAGACGUUAAUAUUUGUUGGUAGCAAAAUUAUAUCUAAGUUUUUCGCCUUUUUUUAUAGUAGAAUGUGAAAAAGAAAAAGAGAAAAAGAGAAGACAAGAAACAAGUGUAUUGUUACAUUUGGCCUUCCAAGAACAGUGGUUUGGUCUUUGGUUUUCAGUUCUUAGUUUCUAUAACAGUUCGACUUCUGUUGUAUAUACAUAUAUUUGUGUACUUGGAGACUGCUUUAGUUGAGACGAAAAAUAGUGUGGAAUCUACAAACGGCAAGCAUCUUGGAAAUUUACGCAAUGUUUUGUUAGCUAGAUUUAUAUUAUUAUUGUUUGCUAGGAUUGGAAUCUUGGAACUGUAUUAUUUGUUCUAGUUUUAGCAUUUAUCAAAGACCAAUUUGUAGAACAAUGAGUCUGAAACUCGAUGAAUUUGGAUAGUAACACGAUUCUGAUGUCUGAGCAGUUAACACAUUUCUAGAUUAAUGACACAAAAGAAGGCUUGAGAAUUUCUUUCACCAAUCCAAGAGCAUUAAACCAACAGACAAAAUAUGUCCAAGCCACUAAAUUUUAAAGAUAAAAACACAAAUUUGUCUGAUCCAGUUCUAUUUUCCGGGAACGAAGUUGGUGGCGUAAGCCCAUGCAUUGUUAGCCACAGGGUCCGCAACAUGAUCGAACAGAUUCUCUAUCGGACCUUUACCAGUAACAAUAGCUUGGACAAAGAAUCCAAACAUCGAGAACAUUGCAAGACGACCGUUCUUGAGCUCCUUCACCUUCAAUUCCGAAAACGCCUCCGGAUCCUCGGCUAAGUUCAACGGGUCAAACGCCCCACCCGGGUAAAGCGGGUCAAGGCCUUCACCAAGAGGUCCACCUCCGAUUCUGUACCCUUCAAUCAAACCCAUCAACACAACUUGAGAAGCCCAGAUAGCUAAAAUGCUUUGCGCGUGGAUCAAGUUAGGGUUCCCGAGGUAAUCAAGCCCUCCUUCUGAGAAGAUCUGAGAACCUGCCUUGAACCACACGGCUUCACCAAAUUUGACUCCGUUUUUGGAGAGAAUCUCAGGGAAGGUGCAGCCUAAUGCUCCUAGCAUUGCCCAUCUGCUGUGGAUUACUUCGAGCUCACGGUUCUUUGCGAAUGUUUCUGGGUCAGCGGAGAGACCAGCUGUGUCCCAACCGUAGUCUCCCGGGUAUUCUCCUGUUAGGUACGAUGGUGUGUUCUCCGAGAAUGGUCCUAAGUACUUGGGACGGUCUGG